UACGGGGGGGCAAGCGUUGUUCGGAAUUACUGGGCGUAAAGGGCUCGUAGGUGGCCAACUAAGUCAGACGUGAAAUCCCUCGGCUUAACCGGGGAACUGCGUCUGAUACUGGAUGGCUUGAGUUCGGGAGAAGGGAUGCGGAAUUCCAGGUGUAGCGGUGAAAUGCGUAGAUAUCUGGAGGAACACCGGUGGCGAAGGCGG
rnacentral:rRNA from 1 species